UACGGAGGGGGCGAGCGUUAUUCGGAAUUAUUGGGCGUAAAGGGCGCGUAGGUGGCCAACUAAGUCAGACGUGAAAUCCCUCAGCUUAACUGGGGAACUGCGUCUGAUACUGGUUGGCUUGAGUGCAGGAGAGGAAUGCGGAAUUCCAGGUGUAGCGGUGAAAUGCGUAGAUAUCUGGAGGAACACCGGUGGCGAAGGCGGCUCUCUGGGACGGUACUGACGCUGAGACGCGAAAGCGUGGGGAGCAAACAGGG
rnacentral:rRNA from 1 species